AUUCUCUUUUGUUGACCCGUAUUCCAUAUUACUAACAAAUUUAACCAUUCCAGCAACCCUUCUCUUUCCAAACCAUUCAUGUUUAAUUCAGGGUUUCUAAUUUGAACAACAAGGGAAACAAGGAUGAGGAGGGGGUGUCCUCUCAGCGUGUCCGCGGUCUGUUGGACCCUCCAGAAUUCUUUUGACUCUUUGACUUUAAACCGCCCUAAUUGUCGUGUCACGCAUGAUUUAGUAGGUGUUCUUUUUUCGCCGGUUCUCAUAUUUUCCAUUAAUUCUUUUGACUUCCCAAACGCGAAAAUUUCCAAAACCUUUUAUCAUUAUUAGAAGAGCUAGUGUUGAGUAAGCCUGGUAAACGGUUGUAGGCAGUUAGACAAACAUUUGGAUAACUGUGUAGCGGGAGAAAAAUCAGUAGUAAGUAGUAAAAUUCCGAUGUUAU
ensembl:ncRNA C53B7.12 ncRNA